UAGUUGGUGAGGUAAUGGCUCACCAAGGCGACGAUCCCUAGCUGGUCUGAGAGGAUGAUCAGCCACACUGGAACUGAGACACGGUCCAGACUCCUACGGGAGGCAGCAGUGGGAAUAUUGCACAAUGGGCGCAAGCCUGAUGCAGCCAUGCCGCGUGUAUGAAGAAGGCCUUCGGGUUGUAAAGUACUUUCAGCAGUGAGGAAGGUUCAUGCGUUAAUAGCGUAUGGAUUUGACGUUAGCUGCAGAAGAAGCACCGGCUAACUCCGUGCCAGCAGCCGCGGUAAUACGGAGGGUGCGAGCGUUAAUCGGAAUUACUGGGCGUAAAGCGCAUGCAGGUGGUUUGUUAAGUCAGAUGUGAAAGCCCGGGGCUCAACCUCGGAACCGCAUUUGAAACUGGCAGGCUAGAGUACUGUAGAGGGGGGUAGAAUUUCAGGUGUAGCGGUGAAAUGCGUAGAGAUCUGAAGGAAUACCAGUGGCGAAGGCGGCCCCCUGGACAGAUACUGACACUCAGAUGCGAAAGCGCGGGGAGCAAACAGGAUUAGAUACCCUGGUAGUCCACGCCGUAAACGAUGUCUACUUGGAGGUUGUGGCCUUGAGCCGUGGCUUUCGGAGCUAACGCGUUAAGUAGACCGCCUGGGGAGUACGGUCGCAAGAUUAAAACUCAAAUGAAUUGACGGGGGCCCGCACAAGCGGUGGAGCAUGUGGUUUAAUUCGAUGCAACGCGAAGAACCUUACCUACUCUUGACAUCCAGAGAACUUAGCAGAGAUGCUUUGGUGCCUUCGGGAGCUCUGAGACAGGUGCUGCAUGGCUGUCGUCAGCUCGUGUUGUGAAAUGUUGGGUUAAGUCCCGCAACGAGCGCAACCCUUAUCCUUGUUUGCCAGCGAGUAAUGUCGGGAACUCCAGGGAGACUGCCGGUGAUAAACCGGAGGAAGGUGGGGACGACGUCAAGUCAUCAUGGCCCUUACGAGUAGGGCUACACACGUGCUACAAUGGCGCAUACAGAGGGCGGCCAACCAGCGAUGGUGAGCGAAUCCCAAAAAGUGCGUCGUAGUCCGGAUUGGAGUCUGCAACUCGACUCCAUGAAGUCGGAAUCGCUGGUAAUCGUGAAUCAGAAUGUCACGGUAAAUACGUUCCCGGGCCUUGUACACACCGCCCGUCACACCAUGGGAGUGGGCUGCAAGAGAAGUGGGCAGUUUAACCUUUCGAGGAGGACGCUCACCAC
rnacentral:rRNA from 1 species